GGCGAACGGGUGAGUAACGCGUGGGUAACCUGCCCUAUGGAAAGGAAUAGCCUCGGGAAACUGGGAGUAAUGCCUUAUAAUAUAUGUUUGUCGCAUGGCAGAUAUAUUAAACGCUCCGGUGCCAUAGGAUGGACCCGCGUCCCAUUAGCUAGUUGGUGAGAUAACAGCCCACCAAGGCGACGAUGGGUAACCGGUCUGAGAGGGCGAACGGUCACACUGGAACUGAGACACGGUCCAGACUCCUACGGGAGGCAGCAGUGGGGAAUAUUGCGCAAUGGGGGAAACCCUGACGCAGCAAUACCGCGUGAGUGAAGAAGGUUUUCGGAUCGUAAAGCUCUGUUAUUGGGGAAGAAAAAAAGACGGUACCCAAGAAGAAAGUCCCGGCUAACUACGUGCCAGCAGCCGCGGUAAUACGUAGGGGACAAGCGUUGUCCGGAUUUACUGGGCGUAAAGGGCACGCAGGCGGUUUUUUAAGUCAGAUGUGAAAGGUACCGGCUCAACCGGUGACAUGCAUUUGAAACUGAAAGACUUGAGUAUUGGAGAGGCAAGUGGAAUUCCUAGUGUAGCGGUGAAAUGCGUAGAUAUUAGGAGGAA
rnacentral:rRNA from 1 species